ACUCCAGCCUGGGCAAAAUAGCAAGAUCCUGUCUCCAAAAAGAAAAAAAAAAUUAUUCUGUUUAUUUUCCAAGUACAUUAUCACAUUUGUUAAAUAAUUACAGUAUAAUGUCUCAAGCCUAUCUAUCUAAAACCAAGCUCACCUUCUUCUAACACUACUUCUAACCAGCAACUCACUCCUACUUUCCUGGUUUUAUUUGUAGUGUGCUAUCUUUAUAUCUAAUCACUAGGUUAGGUCAUCCUUCAUGACUGUUUCCUCAUUAUCAGUUUCUAACUCUUUUCAACUCUGCAUUUAAAAUGCCUCCAUUUUUAUUUGCUUUCAAAUCCUCAUAACUUCAUAUUUGUAAUACUACAAAGCAGUAUUCCUUUGUGGAACUCACCUCAUCUAGUUUCCACCCUUUCCAAGUCACCCAGCAUCUUAUUUCCAGAUUAAUCAAUGGUUCCCCAGUGGGACCAAACUGAACUCACGGUUAAACCAUUUACAACUUAACACAUGAUUUCCUUUCCAGUCUAAACUCUUAUAUAACCUACAUAAUAGUUUUCAUCUUUUUCUCCUUCCUUUUCAUGUUAAAAGGAUGAGAAAAAUUCCCCUUCUUGUCUAAGGAGAGUCAUAUACUCCCUUCUACCCCCUCGGAGACAUUAAGUUGUCAAUAAUCCUGUCUUUUCUCUUUGAAAAGAUGCAAAAGAUAAUCUCUCCCGUUUUACUGACGUUUUCUUUCUUUUUUUUUUUUUUUUUUUUUGAGACGGAGUCUCGCUCUGUCGUCCAGGCUGGAGUGCGCUAGCACGAUCUCAGCUCACUGCAACCUCCGCCUCCUGGGUUCAAGUGGUUCUCCUGCCUCAGCCUCCUAAGUAGCUGGGAUUACAGGCGCGCACCACCAAACCCGACUAAUUUUUCUAUUUUUAGUAGAGACGGAGUUUCACCAUGUUGGUCAGGCUGGUCUCUAACUCCCAACCUCGUGAUCCGCCCACCUCAGCCUCCCAAAGUGCUGAGAUUACAGGAGUGAGUCACCGUGGCCGGCUCUUUUUCUUUCAAUCCCAAGAUAAAUCCUUCCUCAACACUAAAUUCUCUAGCUUUCAUCCUCUCUGCUACUCGAAGUUUUAAAGAGCAAUCUAAAUUCAAUGUCUCACUACAUCCAGGCUUCCCUUGCCACCAUUACAACAAACUACUGUUGCCCAAGUCAUCAAAACCCUCCUGUUAUCUCCAAAAGAUAUCUUUACGUUAUCUUUCUUGAUCUCUGCAGUAUUUAUUCACUGCUGACUCCUUCCUCCUUAAAACUCCCUUCAAUCUGGCAUCAUGCUGCUCAUUUCCCAACUCUCUCAUAGGCUAUUCAAUGACAAACUUCACAGGUUCCUCGUCCUCUACCUGCAUUUUUACGUGUACCAUCUUUCGAGUUUACUCUCUUCACUUCUCGUUUCAUAUUCUCUCUACACAGUAUUUCAUCCAGUUUCAUGGCUUCAAGUACUACCUAACAUAAAUGCACAGACAAUGCUCAAAUCUUUAUUGCAAGCCCCAGAUGUCUCUUCUGAGCACAAGAUACAGACAGCCAAUUACCUGUUGUCCAUAAUCACCUAGAUAACCCAAGAUUAAUAUUCCCUCCCCACCCCCUGCCCCCCAAGACAGUCUUGCUCUGUCACCCAGGCUGCAGCGCAGUCACGCAAUCUUGGCUCACCACAACCUCUCCCUCCCAAGCUCAAGCUAUCCUCCCACCUCUGCCUCCUGGGUAGCUGGAACUACAGGCGUGUGCUACUUUGCCCGCCUAACUUUGUAUUUUUGUCCAGAUGGGCUUUCACCAUGUUGCCCAGGCUGGUCUGGAACUCCUGAGCCCAAGAUUCACCUGCCUCAGACUCCCAAAGUGCUUGGAUUGUAGGGAUGAGCCACUGUGCCUAGCCAACCCAUGUUUCCUUUAAAUUCAGCAUGUGCAAAAAUAAAAAUCCUCAUCACUCCCCCAAAGCCUUCUCCUAUAUCUCCUAGGAAAAUAUGCAUUUCUAACAAGCUCCCAGAUGAUACUGAUGCUGCUAGUCCAGGAUCCACUUCUUGAGAAUCACUGUUCAAACACAUGUGCCUCCUUCUACUUCCAGGCUAUCAAGUACUUUCUGCUAUCUCCUAGGCCAUGAUAUGUACGUAGCAGGCAUUGUCAAUAUUUCACAGCACUCUAUCCUAUUGAACUUGGAAUCUUGCAACAUAGCAUCCCAAGCACUAACUACCAAAUAAUAGAAGACUAGAGAUGAAACAAUAGUCAUCCCAGCAAACUGGAAGUUUCUCGAGGACAGGAACAGUAUUUCCCAUGUAUUCCUAAAACCUAACCUUAACCAAAUAGAUGCUCAAUAAAUAUUUGCUAGGUGGAUAGCAUUAUCCAAAGCCAGAAACCAAAGCAGAAUUCACCACCUCUUUUCUUCCCCAUAAUCCAAAGAAAAGGUUAACUCCUUCAUGAUAUGCAAAUCCCUCUAUGAUCUAGUGUCAAACCACCAGACACUACCCCCUUCCUCUCCAGCCACGCUAAACUAAUACUUUAGUUCUCUGGAUAGCUUGUAUAGCUCAUGCUUCCAUGACUUCUAACAGAAGCUCUCUAUGUGAUGUGCCCUUCCUCACUGGCUAAAUACUCAAAAGACUCAGUUCAGACACCUUCUCUUCCAGGAAGCUUUAAGUGACAUUCAUCCCCAGUGUGGAUUAAGCCUCUUCCCAUGUACUCUUACAGCAUCCCAUGUUUAGUUUAAUAGCACACAGCACACUGCAUAAUCACUGUCUUAUUUACCCUACUUGAUUAAUUUCCUUGGAGAUAACAAUCAUGUCUUAUGUACAUAUAGUUAGUGCUAGGUAUAUUAAGAGACAUUUGACUAAACUUUAAAUAAACACAUUCCUUCCUAUUCUCUAAACAGUGGUUCUCAAAAUUCAGCCCACACCACAAUCAUCUGGAAGACCUAUAAAACUUACGACUGUUGGCUCAUCUCCAGAAUUUUGGAUUCAGUUGUUCCAGGGUGGGGCCUGACAAGUUUCCAAAUGAUGCUGCUGUUGUUGGUUUGGAAACCAUUUUUUAGGAAUCAAUGCUCCAAAUGUACAUUGUCUCUUCCUACCUUUAGGAUUCAAAGUGCCUUCUUCUAGAUGCCUGCAACUCUGCCUACUGCAACCCUAAUCUUUUUAGACUCAGCUAGCUCAAUUGUCACCUCCUUCAUAAAACUUGUCCUAAUCCCAGGUGAAAAUGAUCUUGCUCCUUCCUAAAUUUCUAUCAUGCUUUGUGUGUACUAUUCAUAUGACACUCAUCAUACGCUAACUUACUUCACAGUUACUGGCAUUGUCUUACAUUCUCUACUUAAAUGAAGGUAGGAAACCUGCCUUAAUCAUUGCAAUAUCCUCCACAACAGAGAACACAAUAACCAGUAAACAGCAGACAAAAUCUGCAAGUAUUUGUUGAUAGAAACGAAUCCCUGUAGCUUGCCCCAGAGUCCGGGACCAUGGUCUGACUUAAUCCUCCUGGCCCAAGGUGACUUCCUUAUACUGCCUUGCUACCUAUAACAGUUGCCUGAUCCUUCCAUACUUGUCUGUCCCUCUCAUUGCUGACUGACCCUUAGUCAGUUUCUUUACCUUAUACCUUGAGCCAUUUUAAUUUUCUCAUUCACUAUGGGACAAAAUGAGUGGACAAAUUUUCUCAGGACAGAUGUGAAUUUUAAUUCCGCUGGUCAUAAGACAGGUUUUUUCCUAAAAAGUGGUCUUUGCCACAGAAUCUGAACUAGAAUAUGUUGUGUAAAACUCUACAUACAGUUAUAGACGGCAAUAAAUUUGUUUUAAGUUCUAGGUGCAGAUCAUGGAGAUGAAAAAAACUUUAAAAGCACAAAGACAUGAAAAGGUCUUUAUAAAAUUUAAAGCUCUCUUAAGAAACAAAACGUAAAACAACUACCUUUAUAUUACGUUCAUAUAAGUAUCUAGAACAAAAUCCGUAUUAUCUAUUUCAACAAAAACGGAUAUAAAACACCUGGUUCAGCAGAAAUUCCUAGGUCAGUAUUUACAGAAUUUUUUUUUUUUAACAUAUAACCUUCAUUCUCCCUGGACGCUUAACAAUUUAAAACUCAAGGGUGAAGGGAGGGAAAGACUUUAACUUUCAGAAAACAAAAGAAAUAAACUGCUUUUAAGGCACCAACUAAAUACCUGUCAGAAAAGAUCCUUGAGAGUUCAAUUAAAUCUUAUAAGCCUUUUUACUUUCUUCAUACUUAAAUUAACUAGUGAUAUUUCAUAAAUACUGUAAAUGCUGUUGACAAAAUGUAAAUAAUAGUAAGAAUUCUAACAGAUUUUUCCAAAGAGUGUGAAAGUUUUCAGAAUUGCAUGUUCAAUUAACCAGAAAAAUUAACCAGAUCAUUCCAAAGCCUGAUUUACUUGGGUUAAUCGACAUCCCAUAUGGCAAAGUUGAGUUACGAGUAUGGUCUUGAUACUUUCAAACCAGUACUGUAUUCAACAGACCAAAAUAACCCUAAAGUUGGAAAGCCACUGCCAACAUUACGUAGGUUCUGAAAUGGUAUUGGGAGGACGAAAGAGGGGGGGAAAAAAAAAAAGAAAAAACCAACAGUUGAAUUAGGAAAUAAACACUGAAAAGGGAGCUGUUAAGAAAAGGAACAUAUUGACCUGGCAGGAAACAAUAUCGUUUGAUACAUCGUAAAAUAUUUUAAAAGACAAGAAAACAGAGUAACAGGAAAAUAAGAAAUUUAAGAGCUAAAGGAGAAUUUCCCAAAUUCAGUCUGUCGUUCAAAAAACAGAGGAAGGGGUGCACUGCAGGAGAGUUACUAUUUGGAAACCAUAUCACUUCGCUACAUAAUACAUAAACAACAAAAGGCUAGAUCAUUGUUCCUCAAAUGUGUUGUUUAUAAACCUAAGUAAAAACAUUCCCUGCAAUGAACAAAGAUCUUCAAGAUUCUGACCUUCAAGUAAAGUAUGUGCAUCAGGAAAUUCUAUUAAAGCACUGAAAUGUAAUUUUUCACUUCAAAAGACUAUGCCAACAAAAAGAUUAUACGAUGAAUGGCUAUGAUCUUCCUAAAGUGUUUUGUGACUUUCAGGUGCCGAAGUUGCCUCUCAGAGCUGCCUCGAAAGUUGGCAGGGGAAAACUUUCUCUACACAUCAAAAUCGGCAAUCAUUUAAGUCUGCUUCAAUCUGGGUUUUAAGUGCACCAGUGAGCACUUACUCAUUUGCCCUAUAUUUUAAAUAAAAGCUGAAUUACCUGAACAUUCUACUUUCAUUUUCUUCCCUAUCACCACCAAAUCGAUUUUAAGUUGUAAGCAACAGCAUUUCUCCCUUCAGUAAUUCACCACAUAUACUGAAGCACUUAAAUUCUACAUACAGGGUGGGAUACCACACAGUGGAGAGAUGCAAGAAGUCAACCAGUUUAAGUCUUCUGACAACUGUUCAAAGACUUUUAGAGAAAGUCUAACAACUGAAUCACACGAUGGAGUAUCUGAUAUACACGGAAUAGCACUCUGAACUUUCCCUACUGUGUAUACAACUCUUGAUUACAAAGAGGAAGCUAACGACAAGGGCUUCCCCGAGCGAGAGAACCGGUAAGGUAACAGGCUAAAAGGGCGUCGUUGAUUUCUUGGCUACAGCGACAGAGACGGGAGACACACCCCUAGCGUCGGUCUGAAACACUACAGCAGCGAAUUCUACCUAGGGAUUAAUGUGAGGGUAAGGAAAGACAAAUUUAAAUCGCCAUGAUUCAAAAACAACCACUCCGAGAGAGACACACGAAGGUAGCAAAGAAAAUGAAAAAACCCUUGGUAGUAAGGAAAGCACGAAAAAGUAAGCGUCCCCAUUUCUCUCAGACCAAGUUCGCGUAUGUUUUCGUGAACACCUUGGAUCUUUCCGGUUCGCCAGGGCAGCGAGGAAAGCAGCAACGAAAGGAAACCCCGCAAGGCUGCGCACGGCAGCUAAACCGACGCUCGCAGGAGAGGAGAAGGCAAACUUAUUGGAACCAAACUCAAAAUAUUCACUAGCACAUUAUCUACAAUGCUGUUCUUCCAGGAAAAUAAGAGUAAUCAAAAAGGGUCUCACUCUGUCACCCUGGCUGGAGUGCAAUGGUA